rnacentral:rRNA from 1 species
AGCGAACGUUAGCGGCGCGCCUAACACAUGCAAGUCGCACGAGAAAGGGAGCAAUCCCCGGUACAGUGGCGCACGGGUGAGUAACACGUAGAUGACCUUCCCUGGAGUGGUGGAUAACCUGCCGAAAGGCGGGCUAAUACAGCAUGGGACCACAUGGUUUUGACCGAGUGGUGAAAGCGGGCCUCUGUUCACAAGCUCGCGCUCUGGGAUGGGUCUGCGUCCCAUCAGCCAGUUGGUGAGGUAAUGGCUCACCAAGGCAUCGACGGGUAGCUGGUCUGAGAGGAUGACCAGCCACACUGGAACUGAGACACGGUCCAGACUCCUACGGGAGGCAGCAGUGGGGAAUCUUGCGCAAUGGGCGAAAGCCUGACGCAGCGACGCCGCGUGGGUGAUGAAGGCCUCGGUUGUAAG